ensembl:lncRNA novel transcript
GGCAACCCACUCGGGUUUUCCUCCACUCUGUGGAAGUUUUGUUCUUUCGCUCUUUGCAAUAAAUCUUGCUGCUGCUGCUCACUCUUUGGGUCCACAGUGCCUUUAUGAGCUGUAACACUCACUGCGAAGGUCCGCAGCUUCACUCCUGAGCCAGCCAGACCACGAGCCCCACCAGAAGGAAGAAACUCCGAGCACAUCCGAACAUCAGAAGCUAGUAGACCUUGAGAACCUGCACCUAGAAGAGGAAUGGAUAUCACCUGAACGUACCUGAAGAACAGCCCACAACGUGAUAUUCAGUUGUCUCCUGCUGGGAAGGGCGUGAAUGUAUUUGUGAUUAAAUGAGGGAGAGGUGGAUUACAUUAAAUGGGGAGACCUUCAGAAUUAGCAAUUUCUGCUAAUGGAGCAGGGGGUACCAGCAUGUGCGGAGCGACCACGAUGUGUACUGGAUGCAUUAAACCUCUCCUGAAGGGUCUGCCCAUCUCUUGAUGUGUGUACUCCAGAUUGAGAGCAUCGUUGUGAUGAAACUGCGUUAGCUUAAGGGACCCACCAUGAACAAAGUAAUGCCUCCUUCCCCAGGGAAGCUCUCAUCCAAUGAUUAUCAAUAGGGUAUUAUAAUUACUUGCCCCUCUUCUUCCAGUUUGGGACAGUUCUUCAGAGUGAUCUCAGUUCUACAGCUCUUUGGGCACUGGAUUGCAGCUCCUCUUUUCCUUCUGCUUCAUCCUGCUUUCUUCUCUUCACUCCCCCACAUUUGUAUUCCCAAGAACAUGCUCCUGCAAUAACAUUGUGAUGUGCACAUCUCCAACACAGCAUCUGCUUCCCAGGGAAUCCAAUCCGUGACAAGCACUAAAAUAAACUUUACUUUACUGGUCUGA